rnacentral:rRNA from 2 species
CCCUUUGGGGUGUGACUGCGUACCUUUUGUAUAAUGGGUCAGCGACUUAUAUUCUGUAGCAAGGUUAACCGAAUAGGGGAGCCGGAGGGAAACCGAGUCUUAACCGGGCGUUAAGUUGCAGGGUAUAGACCCGAAACCCGGUGAUCUAGCCAUGGGCAGGUUGAAGGUUGGGUAACACUAACUGGAGGACCGAACCGACUAAUGUUGAAAAAUUAGCGGAUGACCUGUGGCUGGGGGUGAAAGGCCAAUCAAACCGGGAGAUAGCUGGUUCUCCCCGAAAGCUAUUUAGGUAGCGCCUCGUGAAUUCAUCUCCGGGGGUAGAGCACUGUUUCGGCUAGGGGGCCAUCCCGGCUUACCAACCCGAUGCAAACUGCGAAUACCGGAGAAUGUUAUCACGGGAGACACACGGCGGGUGCUAACGUCCGUCGUGAAGAGGGAAACAACCCAGACCGCCAGCUAAGGUCCCAAAGUCAUGGUUAAGUGGGAAACGAUGUGGGAAGGCCCAGACAGCCAGGAUGUUGGCUUAGAAGCAGCCAUCAUUUAAAGAAAGCGUAAUAGCUCACUGGUCGAGUCGGCCUGCGCGGAAGAUGUAACGGGGCUAAACCAUG